rnacentral:rRNA from 1 species
UACGUAGGGUGCGAGCGUUAAUCGGAAUUACUGGGCGUAAAGCGUGCGCAGGCGGCUAUGCAAGACAGGUGUGAAAUCCCCAGGCUCAACCCGGGAACUGCACUUGUGACUGCAUGGCUAGAGUGUGUCAGAGGGAGGUGGAAUUCCGCGUGUAGCAGUGAAAUGCGUAGAGAUGCGGAGGAACACCGAUGGCGAAGGCAGCCUCCUGGGAUAACACUGACGCUCAGGCACGAAAGCGUGGGGAGCAAACAGG